rnacentral:rRNA from 1 species
UACGGGGGGGCAAGCGUUGUUCGGAAUUACUGGGCGUAAAGGGCUCGUAGGCGGCCAACUAAGUCAGACGUGAAAUCCCUCGGCUUAACCGGGGAACUGCGUCUGAUACUGGAUGGCUUGAAUCCGGGAGAGGGAUGCGGAAUUCCAGGUGUAGCGGUGAAAUGCGUAGAUAUCUGGAGGAACACCGGUGGCGAAGGCGGACAUCUGGGACAUAACUGACACUGAGGCGCGAAAGCGUGGGGAUCAAACAGG